rnacentral:rRNA from 1 species
UUCCUGGCUCAGGAUGAACGCUAGCGACAGGCUUAACACAUGCAAGUCGAGGGGCAGCAUAAAAGUAGCAAUACUUGGUGGCGACCGGCGCACGGGUGAGUAACGCGUAUGCAACCUACCUAUCAGGAGGGGAAUAACCCGGCGAAAGUCGGACUAAUACCGCAUAAAACAGGGGCACCGCAUGGUGAUAUUUGUUAAAGAAAUUCGCUGAUAGAUGGGCAUGCGUUCCAUUAGGUAGUUGGUGAGGUAACGGCUCACCAAGCCGACGAUGGAUAGGGGAACUGAGAGGUUGGUCCCCCACACUGGUACUGAGACACGGACCAGACUCCUACGGGAGGCAGCAGUGAGGAAUAUUGGUCAAUGGGCGGGAGCCUGAACCAGCCAAGUCGCGUGAAGGAAGAAGGAUCUAUGGUUCGUAAACUUCUUUUGCAGGGGAAUAAAGUGCAGGACGUGUCCUGUUUUGUAUGUACCCUGAGAAUAAGGAUCGGCUAACUCCGUGCCAGCCGCAGC